GCUUAGAUGGUUCAACGGUAGAAUCGCUCGUUGCCAAGCUGCAAGUUCGAGUGGACCGGGGUUCGACUCCCCGUCUAAGCA